AGUCUCUAUCUGGUUCUAAAGAAGAAUUCAGCCAUACACCAAAGAAAACAUCUCUUGAGCAUUCACUGAUUUGGGUGAGAUUGCCCAAAAUGUACUAUUAGUCUUUCUCUGGUUCUAAAGAAGAGUUCAGCCAUACACCAAAGAAAACAUCGCUUUGAGCAUUCAAAUUUUGAAUUUCACCUCUCCAUUUCCCCAAAUGUUUAGCUUUUGAAUUCCACCGAGCAAAGCAAUCCAUUGACUUUCUCAUAUCUCAUUCUUCACAGUUCACGCCAACUCAACUCAUCUGGUUUUCUCUCUACGCACAACAUCAUCUGGUUCUCUCUAUUAGAGAUGAUUAGAAGCAUGAAGCUUCAAAUCUGAUAUUAGAUCGAUCAAGCAAGUUAUCCGUGGCACUCACGGAGGUGUAGACUUCACAGUCUUAGAGGUGAGUUCUUGGCACUCACCGGAGGUGUAGAUUUCACAGUCACAGAGGUAAGGGGUUAGAUUCUGAAACUGGAAGUACUGUUGGUGGAGGAAACAUGGUUGGAAGUUUUUUCUUUAUAUAGUUCUACCCCAUAUGGCCAGCUAAAAGCUAUCAUCGUUGGUCAGAGGAAGGGGUGACUCAAGUUCAGAUGCGAGUUCAGAGAGUAGUGAGAGUGCCGCUGAAGAUAAUUUGUUAUUCUUUCACCAGUUGGAUUUGGCAACGCCAGCACAGGUUCGGACACGGGAAUCGCUUGUUGACCAUGAUGGAAUUAUGGGUUUCGCAUAGCCUCUUGGGAAGAUGGAUUAAAUCCCAAUUUGAAUUUGAAGCCUAUAUGCCAAGCUUUUGCUGAAGAAAAGAAAAGUUAACGUUUAAAGUUUGUUUGGUCAAGAAUAUAGAUCAAGAAUUCCUGUCCAACUCUACCUAACCUAAAGAUGUUUAUUAUUAUUUAUUUAUAUUUAUUAUUAUUAUUAUUAUUAUUAUUA